rnacentral:rRNA from 1 species
GAUGAACGCUGGCGGCGUGCCUAAUACAUGCAAGUCGAGCGAGCGGCGGACGGGUUAGUAAUGUCUGGGAAACUGCCUGAUGGAGGGGGAUAACUACUGGAAACGGUAGCUAAUACCGCAUACCAUCCGAUGUUCCCAGAUGGGAUUAGCUAGUAGGUGGGGUAAUGGCUCACCUAGGCGACGAUCCCUAGCUGGUCUGAGAGGAUGACCAGCCACACGGGAAAUGAGACACGGUCCAUACUCCUACGGGAGGCAGCAGUGGGGAAUAUUGCACAAUGGGCGCAAGCCUGAUGCAGCCAUGCGGCGUGUGUGAAGAAGGCCUUCGGGUUGUAAAGCACUUUCAGCGAGGAGGCGUUACUCGCAGAAGAAGCACCGGCUAACUCCGUGCCAGAAGCCGCGGUAAUAC